AACGAACGCUGGCGGCAGGCCUAACACAUGCAAGUCGAGCGCGCCCUUCGUGGUGAGCGGCGGACGGGGGUGUAACGCGUGGGAACGUUCCCUUUUCUACGGAAUAGCCUCUGUAAACGGAGGGUAAUACCGUAUACGCUCUUCUGGUGCAAGAUAUAACGUAAAAGUAUCGGCCCGCGUUGGUUUAGGUGGUUGGGGUUGUAAUGGCCUAUCAAGCCUACGAUCCAUAGCUGGUUUGAGAGAAUGGUCAGCCACACUGGGACUGAGCCACGGCCCAGAAUCCUACGGGAGGCAGGAGAGGGGAAUCUUAGAAAACCGGGUCAAUCAUGAUCUAGCUCUGCCGGGUGAGUGAUGAAGGCGUUAGGGUAGAAAAGCUCGUUCAGCUGGGGAGAUAAUGACGGUACCAGCAGAAGAAGCCCCGGCUAACUUCGUG
rnacentral:rRNA from 1 species